rfam:Tetraodon nigroviridis chromosome 17 SCAF14532, whole genome shotgun sequence.
AGUGGUCUGCCCCGGUCCCGGGGAAUGUCAAAAAUCUGAGGGAGAGAAGGAAAAGUUUUGAAUUCCUGAAUGAUUUGGUAGAAAGGCAGCUUAGGAUCAUUAUGUCAGCUUUAUUGAGGACGGAUUAAGCCGAGCCUAGAUGCUGCGCCGUGCACGGCCCUUUCAGAAUGCGA